rnacentral:rRNA from 1 species
UACGGGGGGGGCAAGCGUUGUUCGGAAUUACUGGGCGUAAAGGGCUCGUAGGUGGCCAACUAAGUCAGACGUGAAAUCCCUCGGCUUAACCGGGGAACUGCGUCUGAUACUGGAUGGCUUGAGUUUGGGAGAGGGACGCGGAAUUCCAGGUGUAGCGGUGAAAUGCGUAGAUAUCUGGAGGAACACCGGUGGCGAAGGCGGCGUCCUGGACCAACACUGACACUGAUGAGCGAAAGCCAGGGGAGCAAACGGGG